UGCCAGCAGCCGCGGUAAUACGGGGGGAGCAAACGUUGUUCGGAAUUACUGGGCGUAAAGGGCGCGUAGGCGGCCUGAUAAGUGGAUUGUGAAAGCCCAUGGCUCAACCAUGGAACUGCAACCCAAACUGUCAGGCUUGAGUCUCGGAGAGGAUGGGGGAAUUCCCGGUGUAGCGGUGGAAUGCAUUGAUAUCGGGAGGAACACCAGUGGCGAAGGCGCCCAUCUGGCCGAAGACUGACGCUCAGGCGCGAAAGCUAGGGGAGCAAACAGGAUUAGAUA
rnacentral:rRNA from 1 species